GCUCAGUAACACGUGGAUAACCUGCCCUUGGGACCGGGAUAACCCCGGGAAACUGGGGAUAAUACCGGAUAACGCAUAUCUGCUGGAAUGCUUUAUGCGUAAAAUGGAUUUGUCUGCCCAAGGAUGGGCCUNCGGCCUAUCAGGUAGUAGUGGGUGUAAUGUACCUACUAGCCUACGACGGGUACGGGUUGUGAGAGCAAGAGCCCGGAGAUGGAUUCUGAGACAUGAAUCCAGGCCCUACGGGG
rnacentral:rRNA from 1 species